GCAGGAUUAGAUCUAGCCUGUUAUGAAACGAUACGCGACGAUCACCGCACGAUCUCAUCUCUACGCUCCAGAUUUAAUAACCCCUGAACCACUCUCGCCCGUCCGACCCGAAACGGGCGGCCCUCGUUACACCAACCCAACCGGUAUGCUUCUUCUAAUUUGGGCCGUAGAUCGUGCAAUCGACGGACCCAGCGUAACCCGGCCUCCUCCGACCGGCACUGGCGGCGCCGCCCACCAAAUUGCGGCGGGCAUCGCUGGAGCAGGGCCGACUACCAUCCUGGUGCGCUAAACCCAAAGGGAAUAGGUGCUAUACGAAGGUGGGGCAAUGCGAACAAUCAUGAGGGAGAUUUCAUCUUCAAUCCCGGUGCAGAAAUCCUAGGCGACGACGGGGCGCGGCUUCACGACGGAGGGAAUACGCCGGUGCGCAAUUCGCGCCAUGAUGUGGGACUUCUCUUCCAUUUGCCGACGUGGACGACCUCCCCAGGUUUAGGUGAACCUCCUCGGUCACACCCCGUGGACGGAAUCCACCUCCACCGCGAGUUACCAGUGGCAAUCUAGGUUUCUCCCUCACGGGCGGCGACGACGAGUGUGUGGCUGGCGACGCGAAAAGAGAGGAAGG
rnacentral:lncRNA from 7 species